AGAACGAACGCUGGCGGCAGGCCUAACACAUGCAAGUCGAACGCUCGUAGCAAUACGAGAGUGGCAGACGGGUGAGUAACGCGUGGGAACCUUCCCAGUGGUACGGAAUAGCUCAGGGAAACUUGAGGUAAUACCGUAUACGCCCUUCGGGGGAAGAUUUAUCGCCAUUGGAUGGGCCCGCGUAGGAUUAGCUAGUUGGUGAGGUAACGGCUCACCAAGGCGACGAUCCUUAGCUGGUCUGAGAGGAUGAUCAGCCACACUGGGACUGAGACACGGCCCAGACUCCUACGGGAGGCAGCAGUGGGGAAUAUUGGACAAUGGGGGAAACCCUGAUCCAGCCAUGCCGCGUGGGUGAUGAAGGCCCUAGGGUUGUAAAGCCCUUUCGGCGGGAAGAUAAUGACGGUACCCGCAGAAGAAGCCCCGGCUAACUUCGUGCCAGCAGCCGC
rnacentral:rRNA from 1 species